rnacentral:sRNA from 1 species
GCGAUGAGCUAAUUGCAUAAGACGAGAUUGACGCGCCUUUUUUGGCAAUGCACUAUGUGGAGUGCUGUCUCUCGCCGCAAUAUACGCAAAAAAGACGUCCAAUCGGGCGUCUUU